rnacentral:rRNA from 1 species
CCUACGGGUGGCUGCAGUGAGGAAUAUUGGUCAAUGGACGCGAGCCUGAACCAGCCAAGUAGCGUGAAGGAUGACUGCCCUACGGGUUGUAAACUUCUUUUAUAAAGGAAUAAAGUGAGGCACGUGUGCCUUUUUGUAUGUACUUUAUGAAUAAGGAUCGGCUAACUCCGUGCCAGCAGCCGCGGUAAUACGGAGGAUCCGAGCGUUAUCCGGAUUUAUUGGGUUUAAAGGGAGCGUAGAUGGGUUGUUAAGUCAGUUGUGAAAGUUUGCGGCUCAACCGUAAAAUUGCAAUUGAUACUGGAAGUCUUGAGUACAGUUGAGGUAGGCGGAAUUCGUGGUGUAGCGGUGAAAUGCUUAGAUAUCACGAAGAACCCCGAUUGCGAAGGCAGCUUACUAAACUGUGACUGACACUGAUGCUCGAAAGUGUGGGUAUCAAACAGGAUUAGAUACCCUUGUAGUC